rnacentral:rRNA from 1 species
AUUGAACGCUGGCGGCAGGCUUAACACAUGCAAGUCGAACGGAAACAGAAAGUAGCUUGCUACUUUGCUGUCGAGUGGCGGACGGGUGAGUAAUGCUUGGGAAUAUGCCUUUACGUGGGGGACAACAGUUGGAAACGACUGCUAAUACCGCAUAAUGUCUUCGGACCAAAGCAGGGGACCUUCGGGCCUUGCGCGUAAAGAUUAGCCCAAGUGGGAUUAGCUAGUUGGUAAGGUAAUGGCUUACCAAGGCGACGAUCCCUAGCUGGUCUUAGAGGAUGACCAGCCACACUGGAACUGAGACACGGUCCAG